UGUCGGUUGAUCUACUCAUUCAGCUAAAUAGUCAAUCGCAUCGCAGCGUAACCGGUCGUGAUUCAAUGUUGUUUGUAUUUUGUUUCGCGUAGUAAAUCGUCAGAAAAUUUGUCUUCAAAGAAAUCGAGUGCUAAGAAUAACGAAAGGAAAACUUGAAAAGACUCAAAUAAAUUCAUGCAAAUGCAAAAAGGAAUGUUCUCUAUCCAAGACAUGUGGGUGUUCUAAACAUGGCAGUGGCUGCAAUGGAAGGUGUUCUUGCGACGGCUGAUGCAAUAAUCUGUUCAACGGUCUUGAUUACUUUUUUGGCAAUCGAUCGUGAUGAAUUGCGCAACCGAAUAUUGAUGAAUGGCAGGUAUAAAUGGCAGAGACAUUAAACUUAAUUAGAAACAACAUUCUCACACCCGACGUGCAGUUGCUUGAACGUACAUUUGGACGAAAAAAUCGUUCAGUGGAAAGAACAGUGGAAUGUUGUUAAAAAACCCGGAAAUGCCGCCACACGCCUGAACUGCACUCAACAAAUUUUUCGUUUGCUGCUGUCGAAUGAGUCGCCGUUUUAUUAUUCGUUUUGCGACAAUGAAAUGCAUCGGAAAACUUGCUACUGGCAUUGCUUGAUUUGGCAAAAGCGCAAUCAAUGUAGGAGCUGGCAUUGCCAGAAAUGCAAGAAAUGUCAAUUUGGCCUUAUCAAUCCUUGUGAUACCUGCGAUGGAAAGUUUACCUCUAGCAAAAAUUGAUUUUCGAUGUCGUUGUCUAUGUGCUUGAUGCAUGGUUAUAACGAUUGACUCAUUUAACAUGAAGCAAGAACCAUCAUAAUGAUCACUGAAUUUUAUAUUGGGUCAUACCAUUUUACCAUUACAUCCAUUUGGCGAUAAUUAAGCUCUUCUCGAUUGUAACAUUUAAUAGAACCACCAAUGCAAUAAAGUGUU